GAUGAACGCUAGCGGCAGGCCUAAUACAUGCAAGUCAAGGGGCCCUUUCGGGGGCACCGGCGGACGGGUGCGCAACGCGUACACAACGUGCCUUUGACCGGGGGACAGCGGCGGGAAACUGCCGGUAAUACCCCAUGGAGCCGCAGGGGGGCGAUUUUUCUUGCGGCCAAAGUUGCGGCGGUCAGAGAUCGGUGUGCGUCCGAUUAGCUUGUUGGCGGGGUAACGGCCCACCAAGGCGACGAUCGGUAGGGGGUGGNGAGAGC
rnacentral:rRNA from 1 species